rnacentral:rRNA from 1 species
UGGGGAAUAUUGCACAAUGGGCGAAAGCCUGAUGCAGCAACGCCGCGUGAGUGAUGAAGGCCUUCGGGUUGUAAAGCUCUGUCUUUUGGGACGAUAAUGACGGUACCAAAGGAGGGAGCCACGGCUAACUACGUGCCAGCAGCCGCGGUAAUACGUAGGUGGCAAGCGUUGUCCGGAUUUACUGGGCGUAAAGGAUGCGUAGGUGGAUAUUUAAGUGGGAUGUGAAAUACCCGAGCUCAACUUGGGUGCUGCAUUCCAAACUGGAUAUCUAGAGUGCAGGAGAGGUAAGUGGAAUUCCUAGUGUAGCGGUGAAAUGCGUAGAGAUUAGGAAGAACACCAGUGGCGAAGGCGACUUACUGGACUGUAACUGACACUGAGGCAUGAAAGCGUGGGGAGCAAACAGGAUUAGAUACCCUGGUAGUCCACGCCGUAAACGAUGGGUACUAGGUGUAGGAGGGUCCAACCGUUCUGUGCCGCCGUUAACACAAUAAGUA